rnacentral:rRNA from 1 species
UACGUAGGGGGCAAGCGUUGUCCGGAAUCAUUGGGCGUAAAGAGCGCGUAGGCGGUCCGGUAAGUCCGCUCUGAAAGCCCGGGGGCUCAACCCCCGGGAGGCGGGCGGAUACUGUCGGGCUAGAGUCCGGAAGAGGCGAGUGGAAUUCCUGGUGUAGCGGUGAAAUGCGCAGAUAUCAGGAGGAACACCGAUGGCGAAGGCAGGUCUCUGGGCAUUAACUGACGCUGAGGAGCGAAAGCAUGGGGAGCGAACAGG